GCUUUCUGUCAGAGCUAUAUAUGUUCUCUCCUCAAUAGAUCACCCACAGGGAAGCAGCUGAAAGAGAAGCAAAGCUAUUAUAAACUCAAAGAAGGGCUACUCUUAAUCCUGCCGCAAAGACAGCAUGUAAGAAGAGUUUUAUAUUGGGUGGGACUAAUGAGUGAGAUUGUGAAAAGAUUGUGUAUCAUCGGCCGGCUUCCUCAUGACCGUGUUCUCAGCAUGUAGAAACAAAGGCAGCUGCUACUGCGUGAGCACAAAUCUAUGAUGACAGAUGUUGGGAAUAGAAAGGGAGCCAUUCAAGACAUGCUGAAGAAACCCUCAUCCUUUCCUUCCAUGUGGAACUACGAAAAACUAGAGAAACUUGACCAAAUAUGAGUUCUAAGCUACUGACCAAUCUAAGAAAGGGGCUUUUCCCUUCCAGUUUUGAUCCCAAAUUGUAGAGAGCCUCUUUGAAAACGGUAAUUUCGAUAAAACAUAACUAAACCUGUG
rnacentral:lncRNA from 1 species